rnacentral:rRNA from 1 species
UACGUAGGGUGCGAGCGUUGUCCGGAAUUAUUGGGCGUAAAGAGCUCGUAGGCGGCUUGUCACGUCGGGUGUGAAAGCCCGGGGCUUAACCCCGGGUCUGCAUUCGAUACGGGCUAGCUAGAGUGUGGUAGGGGAGAUCGGAAUUCCUGGUGUAGCGGUGAAAUGCGCAGAUAUCAGGAGGAACGCCGGUGGCGAAGGCGGAUCUCUGGGCCGUUACUGACGCUGAGGAGCGAAAGCGUGGGGAGCGAACAGG